CCUUUGUACACACCGCCCGUCGCUACUACCGAUUGAAUGGUCAUAGUGAGCAUGUGGGAUCUUUGAAGGCUAGUUGGCAACAACCGGCUUUUGAGGAGAACUAUGGCAAACUAGAUUAUUUAGAGG
rnacentral:rRNA from 1 species